ACGUCGUACACCACAGCACAAGUGUUCAAUUACAUUUUUUUAAUUUCUAAACGAGCUGUUUAAUUUUGAUAGUUAAAAUAAACUGGUAACAAUUAUUUCAGUUUUUAACAAUUCGGGAAGAUUAUUUGGUGGUUUGGUAAAGGGGUGGUUAGCACGUAAGAAGAGAACACUAGUAUACAAGGUAUAAUAAAGAUAUUCUAUAUACGUUAUAUGGAUUGUUAAAUGGGUGUGGUAGAAAGAAAUGUGCAAAUGUUCGAGAAAUAUCAUACAAUAUAUCUCGCUCCGUGUGUGAAGGUGCAGUUUAAGGUAUGAACGAUAAGUUGUGAUAUAUACGCAGAGGCAUGUCGCGUAUAGUGGCACUGAAUAUGCAACAUAACUACAAUUGCAAGAACCAUUAAAAUAAAAUAUCAAAAGCUUUGGACAGCUAAACAAAGUAACGCGUUAUAUACCAUCAAACACUGGCUACUAUACAUCCGAAUACGAUUUAAAGACACAGAAAUUAAUCAAUUAAAAUAAAAACACCAAGUAAGGACGCUUGCCAAGCCAUAUAGGACGCACGAGCGCAAAGAACAAUAAGAGUACGCAACAAUAAGGCGGAGGUAUAGUACAGUGCUGCAGAAGUACAUCCGGUAAGCAAGUAAAGGAAAUUGUUAAAAUGCUUGACCAAAACAGCGCGUGCGAAUGCAGGUGUGUAGCACACAAAAUGCCAUAUAUACUUUGAAGAUUUCAAACUGACCAUAUAUAUAUAAUCAGUAAUAAGUUAUGUUUGUUGAAAAAUGACAUUAAUUUUUUUGAUGAAAAAUGUGCAUGGUUGUGAUUUGAUGGCUAUAAAAUCGGGUAAAAGCGCUGGUAAGACAAAUAUGUCGGCGCAAAACAUCAAAGGUGCUGUGAGACGGCGCACAAAGCAGUGCAAGCGUUUCGGUCGUAAAUAAAAACGAUGCUGCGAAUGCAAUAAAAUCUACAAAAUUCGCGACAAUAAAACGAUCAAACGAGGAUCUUUGUAAAAA